rnacentral:lncRNA from 1 species
CCAGCCCAGGUUCCUUGGGAGUAAGUUAAACAUUCCUUGAUAUAAUCUUGUUAUAUCCUAGGGUCAGUCUAAAUUGCUAUAAUUGUUGAAUUGGGUUUCUAUUCCAGGUUGCUGAAGAGUCUUGUGUUAUAAAUUGAUGAUAUCUGCUCCUGUGGUUAUAUUCAUGACUGUUAGAACUGUUUUAAAAUUCGUUUUGCAUUAACAAUUUGUUGUCUUAAGGUUGAUGAAACUAGAUUCAUAUCAAGGUUGAAGGUCAUAUCAAUCGUGUUUUUAGUACUGAUGUGUUUGAUACUGAUCAUGCAUAAGCAUUUAGUGAUCUAUUGCCUGAUUGCAUUUGCAUUUAGAGAGGAUGCAUUCAUAGAAUUGAUCCUGAUAUUAUCUUGACUCUAUCUAUUGUAUUACAUAUGACAUUGGUGAUCAAACUUGGCAGUUGGUCAAGAUUUGAUCCCAAUGAGGUGAUCUAACCUCUCCAUUGAGUUUGUGUGUUGUUCAAGAACACA